GCUCACUGUCAUACAGGGCACAUUUAACGUACCAUUUGUGCUUGUAAUUGUCGCAUUUCUCUCUGACGCCAUCACUUGGGACGCUGCACCGCAAGGGUCAUAUUCAAGCUACUUUUCUCCCACUGUAGCUCUUCCUCUCAGGCCUGAGCCUGACCUCAACAGGACAUAUUUGCUGACUGACUCAUGUGUGACCGCGUCAACGAAUGAUCAGGGACAAACGCAGGAGGGAGAUGAAGCAGAAGGGAUUUCCCAGGACAGAGGAACUAUGUUUAUGAAUGAUGAAAAUCCUCAGCCAUUAGAAAUGAGAGAUUGCCAGCAAUGAAAAGGUAGGCUGUAAGAAUCUAAUUAGAAUCCUUAAUUUGGAAGACCGGAGCCUUAAAGCCACAGUAAUAGCAGCUGUGGUGGCUUGAACUCUCACCUUGUGCCAAACUUUUUCUAAGAGCCCUUUCCAUGGAUUUACCCAUUUAAUAUUUUUACACAUUUCCUCGUUGAAUCAUGGUGGCCUGCCGUCCCUGCCUGCAGUGUGAAGACAGAGAAAUCAGUGAACAAGACCCCUCUGAAGUGGCAUCCAGUCCUAAGCCAUGGACCGGGAAAUGGAGGCUCCAUGCUGAGAUGCCUUGGCUAGGAUUACAGACUGAUGAGGCCGAACCACAGGUCACAAACACUGCAUAGGACCUUGGGGUGCAUUUUGACGCCACAGGUAAGCUAUUAACUGCCUCACUGGAAAGGAUGCUUGAAGCCACUGUCUGGUCCCGACUACAGACUGGCCAGGAGACACUUCUGCUCUUCUUUGGAGGCAGCCAUGGGCUGGUCCCCAGGUGAGCUGCAUUCCGUGAGUUCCUUUCCCCCAACUCAUGGCUUUCCCUUCAUCUCCUUAGCUGUUACUCCACAGGGAAACAUGGAAAGGAAAACCUCACUGCCCCAAAUAGCAAACUGCUUAAAGAUACCCUCAGGUCCACCCAAUACAAGGAAGGAGCUUGGCAAUAUGAAAAUCCCUUAAACCUUUGUUCUGGGCAGGUUUUGAAACAUAUAAGCAUUUUGUCAUGUGUCUGUCACACAUUUUCUUCCAUUUUGACAUCUCUUAGGUCUAAAAGUAU